rnacentral:rRNA from 1 species
GACGAACGCUGGCGGCGUGCCUAAUACAUGCAAGUCGAGCGAACGGACGAGAAGCUUGCUUCUCUGAUGUUAGCGGCGGACGUGUGAGUAACACGCGGAUAACCUACCUAUAAGACUGGGAUAACUUCGGGAAACCGGAACUAAUACCGGAUGAUAUUUUGAACCGCAUGGUUCAAAAGUGAAAGACGGUCUUGCUGUCACUUCUAGAUGGAUCCGCGCUGCAUUAGCUAGUUGGUAAGGUAACGGCUUACCAAGGCAACGAUGCAUAGCCGACCUGAGAGGGUGAUCGGCCACACUGGAACUGAGACACGGUCCAGACUCCUAAGGGAGGCAGCAGUAGGGAAUCGUCCGCAAUGGGCGAAAGCCUGACGGAGCAACGCCGCGUGAGUGAUGAAGGUCUUCGGAUCGUAAAACUCUGUUAUUAGGGAAGAACAUAUGUGUAAGUAACUGUGCACAUCUUGACGGUACCUAAUCAGAAAGCCACGGCUAACUACGUG